UUUAUUUCAUUGGUCGUCCGGCGCCGUCUGGCGGCCAAGGUUGGAACUACAACUGUUUGGGAACAGAAGACGCAGCUACUCGGCCUACAGCAGCUCGGCGUUUAUUCGGGUGGCGGUAGAGUCACUGCAGGAAAAAGAAGACGCAAACAAGCACAGUGAGGCUCCCCAGAAGUUUGAGAAGGUUCUGAAUUACUUCUGUUGUAUUUUGUUUUCUUGAUUCUGAAAUGUUUCUUUUAAAGUUUUACUGUUAAAGCUGCAUCUAAGUCACUGUGUCUGAGUGUCAUUAAACUGCUCCACUCACAGGU